CAUGCUGGAGAAGUAGCAUAGUGGCAAAGUGGCAUGUGGCACGUUUACACUGUAAAUUAAUUACAAUUGAGUUCAUCCACAGUGACUUAUUACAGGUGUAAGGACAAAAAGUAGCAAAAAAAAGGUCAUAAUAUGAGCAUUGUAACCAGGGCUGUAGUGUUGCCGGAGUGAACCGGAGCGUAACUCCGCCACUUCUCAGAAUGGUGAUGGUUUAAAGGGUAGGAAGCACACGUUUUUAUUCACCAAUGUAACAACAGAGUGUGGUCAAAGAAUUAGUAACUUAGUUGUUGUCACAAUCUGGUUACCUAUAAGUACAAACAUAGUUAUGUUUUUGGGUUGUUACAUAUCUAUGAACUUAUUUCCAGAUAUCUUAUAAACUACCCACAAUCCACUAUUUCUCAAGGUCAUAAGGAGGAUCUACUCUGUGCUACCGAUUUCAUAUGCUAGCUCAGUAGCAAGCCCAAGCUGGCUAAUGUUAGUCACAGCUCAUGCUCUUCACGGACUUUGUGGCCGUGUUAUCUAGUGGGAACCCUAUAGCACUGCAGGCUCUGGUGACUUUUUGCUGUGGGCUCAAAACGAAAAAGACAAUCAAACCAGUGUGCUCUAAUUGUGUAAUGUUAGUACCUCGUCUGUUCUACUUUUUGUUUUGUCAAGAAUCGACAUGUUCUCUGUGAAGUAGGCUAUGGGAGUUUACUAACUUUUUCCACCUUAGCUUAGUAAUAGCGCACUAGCUGAUGAGCAUCUGAAAUCUAUAUAUUUUGAAUUUUUCUCACUAUAGUUACUGGAUUUUCCCUGAAUCUUACCCUCGGGUGGGCCCCAGUCAUCAAUCUAGGACCUGAGCCCUAGGACCAUGCCUCAUGACUACCUGGCAUGAUGACUCGUUGUCCCCAGUCAGCGAGUCAUGAUGACUUGCUGUCCCCAGUCCACCUGGCCGUGCUGCUGCUCCAGUUUCAACUGUUCUGCCUGUGGCUAUGGAACCCUGACCUGUUCACCGGACGUGCUACCUGUCCCAGACCUGCUGUUUUCAACUCUCUAGAGACAGCAGGCGCGGUAGAGAUACUCUCAAUGAUUGGCUAUGAAAAGCCAACUGACACUUACUCCUGAGGUGCUGACUUAUUGCACCCUCGACAACUACUGUGAUUAUUAUUAUUUGACCAUGCUGGUCAUUUAUGAACAUUUGAACAUCUUGGCCAUGUUCUGUUAUAAUCUCCACCCGGCACAGCCAGAAGAGUACUGGCCACCCCUCAUAGCCUGGUUCCUCUCUAGGUUUCUUCCUAGGUGUUGGCCUUUCUAGGGAGUUUUCCCUAGCCACCUUGCUUCUACACCUGCAUUGCUUGCUGUUUUGGGUUUUAGGCUGGGUUUCUGUACAGCACUUUGCGAUAUCAGCUGAUGUAAGAAGGGCUAUAUCAAUAAAUUUGAUUUGAAUAAGUGAAAACCACUUGCAUAAUGGAGGAGCGAGAGAGAGAGAGAGGGAGGGAGGAAAAAGAAGGAGUGGCAGACAAGGAAUAUUUGAUGAGAGGAGGAGUAGGGAAGUGGGAAAAGAACAGAGGACGCCAUAAGAGAGGGAGUCAAAGGGGAGAGGGUGUGAGUGAGAGCGGGUAAGCUACAAGACCCCACUAGCCACAGACCAUUCUCCAAUGUUGUGAAAAUACUGUGUUGCAUGUAAUAGCCCCAACAAAAUAAAUUCUAGGUAACAACA